rnacentral:rRNA from 1 species
CCUACGGUGCGCAGCAGUGGGGCAUAUUGCACAAUGGGGGAAACCCUGAUGCAGCGACGCCGCGUGAGCGAUGAAGUAUUUCGGUAUGUAAAGCUCUAUCAGCAGGUAAGAAAAUGACGGUCCCUGACUAAGAAGCCCCUGCUAACUACGUGCCAGCAGCCGCGGUACUACGUAGGGGGCAAGCGUUAUCCGGAUUUACUGGGUGUACAGGGAGCGUAGACGGCUGUGCAAACCAGAUGUGAAAGCCCGGGGCUCAACCCCGGGACUGGAUUUGGAACUGUGUGGCUGGAGUGUCGGAGAGGCAGGCGGAAUUCUUAGUGUAGAGGUGAAAUGCGUAGAUAUUAGGAGGAACACCAGUGGCGAAGGCGGCCUGCUGGACGAUGACUGACGUUGAGGCUCGAAAGCGUGGGGAGCAAACAGGAUUAGAUACCCGGGUAGUC